GACGAACGCUGGCGGCGUGCCUAACACAUGCAAGUCGAACGGAAAGGCCCUGCUUUUGUGGGCUGCUCUAUUGGCGAACGGGUGAGUUACACGUGAGUACCCUGCCCUUCACUUUCGGAUAUCUUCAGGCAACUGGGGUUAUUACCGGCUAGGAGCUCCCGCUGCUUGGUGGGCGUGGGAUCGUUUCGGCGGUUGGGGAUGGACUGGCGGCUUAUCAGCUUGUUCGUUGGGUAGUGGCAUACCAAGGCCUUGCAGGGUAGCCGACCUGGGAGGGGGACCGGCCACAAUAGGACUGGGAUACGGCCCAGACUCGAACGGGAGGCAACGGUGGAGAAGAUUACACAAUGGGCGGGAGGCUGAUGCAACAACGCCGCGUGCGGGAAGACGGGCUGCGGGUAGUGAACCGCAGUCGCCUGAGACGAAGCGUUAGUGACGGUAAUGGGUGAAGAAGCACCGGCUAACUACGUG
rnacentral:rRNA from 1 species